CCUACGGGAGGCUGCAGUCAAGAACCUUCCACAAUGGACGAAAGUCUGAUGGAGCGACGCCGCGUGAUUGAUGAAGCGAUUCGUCGUGUAAAGAUCUUUUAUGAGGGAUGAAGUUUAUUGACAGUACCUCAUGAAUAAGGGGCUCCUAACUCUGUGCCAGCAGGAGCGGUAAUACAGAGGCCCCGAGCGUUAUCCGGAAUUAUUGGGCGUAAAGGGUGUGUAGGUGGCGUGAUUAGUCGUUUGUUAAAGAUCCGAGCUUAACUUGGAAAAUGCGGACGAAACGGUCAUGCUUGAGUAUGUGAGAGGUAAGCAGAACUCAUGGUGUAGGGGUGAAAUCCGUUGAUAUCAUGGGGAAUACCAAAAGCGAAGGCAGCUUACUGGCACAUUACUGACACUGAAACACGAAAGCGUGGGUAGCGAAUGGGAUUAGAUACCCGGGUAGUC
rnacentral:rRNA from 1 species